rnacentral:rRNA from 1 species
AUUGAACGCUGGCGGCAUGCCUUACACAUGCAAGUCGAACGGUAGAGGUAGCAAUACCUUGAGAGUGGCGAACGGGUGAGUAAUACAUCGGAACAUGCCCAACUGUGGGGGAUAGCGUAGCGAAAGUUACGCUAAUACCGCAUACGAUCUACGGAUGAAAGCGGGGGACCGUAAGGCCUCGCGCAGUUGGAGUGGCUGAUGCCAGAUUAGCUAGUUGGUGGGGUAAAAGCCUACCAAGGCAACGAUCUGUAGCUGGUCUGAGAGGACGACCAGCCACACUGGAACUGAGACACGGCCCAGACUCCUACGGGAGGCAGCAGUGGGGAAUUUUGGACAAUGGACGAAAGUCUGAUCCAGCAAUGCCGCGUGCAGGACGAAGGCCUUCGGGUUGUAAACUGCUUUUGUACGGAGCGAAAAAGUCUUCUUUAAUACAGAGGGCUCAUGACGGUACCGUAAGAAUAAGCACCGGCUAACUACGUGCCAGCCGCCGCCGUAA